GUGAGUAACACGUAAGCAACCUGCCUAUCAGAGGGGAACAACAGUUAGAAAUGACUGCUAAUACCGCAUAUGCCUUAAUUACCACAUGGUAGUAGAGGGAAAGGAGUAAUCCGCUGAUAGAUGGGCUUGCGUCUGAUUAGAUAGUUGGUAAGGUAACGGCUUACCAAGUCGACGAUCAGUAGCCGGACUGAGAGGUUGAACGGCCACAUUGGGACUGAGAUACGGCCCAGACUCCUACGGGAGGCAGCAUG
rnacentral:rRNA from 1 species